rnacentral:lncRNA from 1 species
ACCAAGCAAUGCCUUCGAAGAAAUUUGCAGAAAAAAUGAAGAAAAAGUUUGAGAGCAAAGUGGAAAAAAGUUUUAGAUCUGAAAAUUAUGAGUUGUCCCUGCUGAAAUCUGUUAGGGUUUCAUUUAUAUAUCAUCUGUUAAUCAAGUUCUUAAUCAUGUUCAGCCAUGUGGUAAGUGGAAUUAGUGAAAACAAGUGUUUAUGCAAAAUUGAUAUUUCCACCUCUAUGCAUGGUAUGAAUGGAACAGUACACGA